rnacentral:rRNA from 1 species
ACGCUCGACACCUACGGGAGGAGCAGUGAGGAAUAUUGGUCAAUGGACGCAAGUCUGAACCAGCCAUGCCGCGUGCAGGAUGACGGCUCUAUGAGUUGUAAACUGCUUUUGUACGAGGGUAAACGCAGAUACGUGUAUCUGUCUGAAAGUAUCGUACGAAUAAGGAUCGGCUAACUCCGUGCCACNGCGCGGUAGUACUGAGCGGGCGGUCGGUCGACGGACGC